rnacentral:rRNA from 1 species
UACGGAGGAUGCAAGCGUUAUCCGGAUUCAUUGGGUUUAAAGGGUGCGUAGGCGGCUUUUUAAGUCAGUGGUGAAAUCUUGCCGCUUAACGGUAAAAUUGCCAUUGAUACUGAAGAGCUUGAGUACAAUUGAGGUAAGCGGAAUGUGUAGUGUAGCGGUGAAAUGCUUAGAUAUUACACAGAACACCAAUUGCGAAGGCAGCUUACUAAACUGUCACUGACGCUGAUGCACGAAAGCGUGGGGAGCGAACAGG